rnacentral:rRNA from 1 species
GACGAACGCUGGCGGCGUGCUUAACACAUGCAAGUCGAACGGAAAGGCCCUGCUUUUGUGGGGUGCUCGAUUGGCGAACGGGUGAGUAACACGUGAGUAACCUGCCCUUGACUUUGUGAUAACUUCAGGAAACUGGGGCUAAUACCGGAUAGGAGCUCCUGCUGCAUGGUGGGGGUUGGAAAGUUUCGGCGGUUGGGGAUGGACUCGCGGCUUAUCAGCUUGUUGGUGGGGUAGUGGCUUACCAAGGCUUUGACGGGUAGCCGGCCUGAGAGGGUGACCGGCCACAUUGGGACUGAGGUACGGCCCAGACUCCUACGGGAGGCAGCAGUGGGGAAUAUUGCACAAUGGGCGGAAGCCUGAUGCAGCAACGCCGCGUGCGGGAUGACGGCCUUCGGGUUGUAAACCGAUUUCGCCUGUGACGAAGCGUGAGUGACGGUAAUGGGUAAAGAAGCACCGGCUAACUACGUG